AGGGGCAGCGAGAUUGAUGCUUGCAUCCAAGUUGUCCGGGCGACCGGCGCACGGGUGCGUAACGCGUAUGCAACCUACCUCAAACAGGGGCAUAACACUGAGAAAUUGGUACUAAUACCCGAUGGGAUGCAUUUCCGGCAUCGGAGAUGCAUUAAAGAUUUUAUCGGUGACGGAUGAGGAUGCGUACGAUUAGCUUGUUGGCGGGUAACGGCCCACAAGGCAACGAUCGUUAGGGGUUCUGAGAGGAAGGUCCCCCACACUGGAACUGAGACACGGUCCAGACUCCUACGGGAGGCAGCAGUGAGGAAUAUUGGUCAAUGGGCGGAAGCCUGAACCAGCCAAGUAGCGUGAAGGAUUACAGCCCUACGGGUUUUAAACUUCUUUUAUAUAAGAGUAAUGUGCACUACGUGUAGUGUAUUGCAAGUAUUAUAUGAAUAAGCAUCGGCUAACUCCGUG
rnacentral:rRNA from 1 species